rnacentral:lncRNA from 1 species
UGCUAAAUCUCUUCAGUCGUGUCCGACUCUGUGCGACCCUAUGGGCUAUCUCCCCCCGCCCCCCGCCCCCCCCCCAACCCCCACUCAGGCUCCUCUGUUCAUGGGAUUCUCCAGGCAAGAAUACUGGAGUGGGUUGCCAUGUCCUCCUCCAGGGAAUCUUCCCAACCUAGGGAUCCAACCCGCAUCUCUUCUGUCUCUUACAUUGGCAGGCUGGUUGUUUGCCACUAGCGCCACCAGGUGGUAGACACCCUGAAACUAUACACAGCGCUCAGAUAUCCCGCAGGGAAGCAUUUCUCAGACCCGCCCCUACCCCGCAGACGUUCCCCCAACUUCCGCGUAGGCCAGGACGGGUCAUGUGCUUUUUCUGAGCCAAGCCCUGGACAAAAGAAGGGACUGAUCUGAUUGAUUUAUACUGUUUAGCGUUUACCCUUGAGCCACAAGGGAGGAAUGGCCUCGGGGGCUGGGGGAGAUAGGGAAGAAGGAAGGGGGCAUGGUAUAGCAACGUGAGCUGAAAGAGAGGCCGAGAAAACUGCAGAAUGGUUGAGAGCACAGGCUCUGGAGGGAGGGAGGCUUUCUUUCUCACCCAUGAUCCACCGCUUCCUAGCUGGCUUACCCUGGGCUCCUUGCAAGGCUUGGCUAAGCCCUGGUUUCCAGGAGAGCAAUAGGGUUGUUGUGGCAAAAAUAAAAUAAUCUCGGUAAAGCAGUCGGCAUAAUGUUUUGUGCAUAAUAAGCCUCCAGUAGAUGUUUACUAUUAUUGUUAUUGCUGUUACUGGUGUUAUUAAUAAAAACGACCUCAGGAAGUUCGCAAGGAGUCCACACGCAAUAACCGCAGCUGUCCAAGGCAGGAGGUGACUUCUUGCCAGGGAGUGAGCCCUCCCCUCCUUCUCUAUGCAAAGGAAAGAGAGAGGCUCUGGAAACACUGCUUUCCCUUCUGCGCAAGACUUGCGUCCAUUCCCAUGUGGACUGCUCAGCUGGGCCAGGAAUUUGGGAGGGGGAUCUGCACGGUGACUGAGCAACGCCUUGGUGGCAGGAGGACCCGAAAGAAAACAUAUGUGACAUCUCCAGCAAAUGAAAUUCAGAUUGCGUGCAGAAGAUUGAAUUCCUGUAGGAGUCAUUUAACUGGGGAAGACAGACCUCCCAUUACUUCACAUCACAGAGCUGCAGAGAAUUUUUUCCUGGCCUAAAAUGUUAGCCAUCUUGAGGAUAAACCUAGACAGUAAAUUUCUUCUGGCACCAAGAUUCUAAUGUCAGGUCUUAAGAGGCCACCAAAGCUACAAGACAGAAAGCAGUUCUUCAGUGGGCAGUGGAGCUGCUUGAAGAAGCACUAGAUAUUUCUGCAUCUCCUGGUAAUGUGGAGAUAGUCUCAGUGUACUUUUUUGCAGGAUAAAAUGUUCUGUGAUUGUAUAUGCUGCUGUAGUUUUCAUAGUGAGGUUAGCAGAUGUGACACAUCAAAAUGCUUGUUAAACUUUAAAAGCAAAGUCCUCUAACCCUGAUAUCAGUAAUAAAACUAUCCCGAGUGAUUCUUCA